CCUGAUUUCUAUGUCUAACGUUUGACCUUCCGUCUUAUUUAAAAAAAUUAUGAAAAAAUAAAAAGAACAUAAAAUAUUACUAAUCAUAUUUUAUUAUCUAACAAUAAUGAAAAUGCGAAUUAUAAAAAGAUUUCAUAUAAGAUGGACAGUCAAAAUUGGACACGAAAACUCAGGUUUUGCUUUUU
rnacentral:pre_miRNA from 1 species